rnacentral:lncRNA from 1 species
GGAAGGACAGGGGUGGGCUUGAAUUUGCAACAGAUGUUGUGUUGUACAGAGAAUACAUUCCCUAUCCUCAGGUAGUUUGUCAAGGCCUGGCUGUGGCUUUACCUCUUCUUGAUUGGAAGAAAAAGAUUUUUUUUUAUCACUCUACAUUAGAGACCAAGACUGCCCCACUGUGGAUAAAAAUCUCAGUUUGAAGACACAGAUCGGAAGAAUCCUCAUCCAAGCAGAAAAUGUUGCCAGAGCUGAGUGUUCUUAUACCAGAGGGAGGUGCCUGGUCUUUGGAGCCCGUGAAGGAGUCUUUUGGUUACAGCAGUUUCUGAUAUUUGUUCAU